AAGUCGUAACAAGGUUUCCGUAGGUGAACCUGCGGAAGGAUCAUUAACACAUCCGUUUCCAAUUUCAACCAAGUCGCACCUGAACUGAGCCUGUCGUAGGGAAGUGUCGGUAUUGGCAAUGGUUUUGAAAUGACGCAAGUCAUUUGGCCUGCCGACUUCGUCCAGCCUCGAGCUGGAGCUUCUACUCUUCUAGGUAUACAGCCUCUUAACCUGGCUGGCCCCAUUUUUUUUAUUAACCUCUUGAUUUUUGAUCUGAUCGUUUUGUUGGGCGUUCGGAUGGAGAGGUCUGCCUUGAAGCUUCUGCUUGAAGGUAUCCCUUUCUCCGGGCUCAGCUUUCUGUGGAGUAAAUCCUACAGAAUAACCCAAUAGAAACACAACUCUUAACAGCGGAUAUCUCGGUUCUC
rnacentral:misc_RNA from 1 species